rnacentral:SRP_RNA from 1 species
AUCUUGACUAGGUUGGGGAGCUAGGCGUUCCCUGUUACCAGAAACCGUCUAGAUGCUGGGACCGAAGCCUGCAGGGCGCUGUUGGAACAUGGAUGUGGUGGCGUGCUACGCCUAUGAAGUCCUGUCCCACUUGAUUGGUGGAGCAUGGGGCCCUUUUGGAGGAAAGGGUUAACAUGCCUGAUCUCUCAAACCCCGCCAGGUCCGGAAGGAAGCAACGGUAGGGAGGACAUUCGAUGCUUGUGGGGGUGCAGGACAGAGAACGAGAAUGUCCUUCCCAUCCAUGGGAAUUCGGUCACCUGUGGGCGCGUCACUUG